rnacentral:rRNA from 1 species
UACGUAGGGUGCGAGCGUUGUCCGGAAUUAUUGGGCGUAAAGAGCUUGUAGGCGGUUUGUCGCGUCUGCUGUGAAAAUCCGGGGCUCAACCCCGGACUUGCAGUGGGUACGGGCAGACUAGAGUGUGGUAGGGGAGACUGGAAUUCCUGGUGUAGCGGUGGAAUGCGCAGAUAUCAGGAGGAACACCGAUGGCGAAGGCAGGUCUCUGGGCCACUACUGACGCUGAGACGCGAAAGCGUGGGUAGCAAACAGG